CCGACGAGUUUUCUAUGCCUCCUUCCCCUUUUAGAUCUUUCUUCUGUAUUUUGAUUUGCACUGAUUUUCUUUCGUUAAUUUGCUUUCUCUUCUUCUUGGAGAUGGAAUGCGUUUGUGCUGCUCCGCGUGUGGCCGGCGUGGUAGGCAGCCGGGACGUCCCGGCAGAGGCCGGAGUCCGUGCUGGUGCGCCGGGUUCUCUCUCUUGUAUGCAGGUGGGCGUCGCCACUAUUUCUAUGCGUUCCGCAUCUCCGUUUUUUGGUAGGCCUUCUUUCUCAUGUCUUCAUUGGUAGUAGCUGCUGGACAAGGGCAUGACACGGGUGAGCGUGCACGAGAAUGAGUACAACAUCUGGAAGAUGGGCGUGAUCACAGUUUACGUCUCAUUUUUUGAUAAAUCGGUGCCAUGAGGGUGAUUCUGAGCUAAUUUGCUGUUAUAGUGGUCAUAUUCUCUCGCUUAGUUUGGAAGCACAAACUUAACCAAACAGUAAGUUUUAAUUUUCAUUAUGUUUCUUCUCUCGCUUAGUACUGUAAACACCCGUAGCCUGAUGCCAUUGUAUAGUUAGAGAGCAUUGUGUUGUCCCACUAUUUUCCGCUUUGGCACUGUCUGAAUGUCAAAGACACUAGAUAUCCCACAAGGAGCACACUGAUGGACAAUUAGCAUAUUGUAAUGUGGAAUUGCAUAAUAUUUAAUACCUCAGAUUAAUUUAAUUUAGAUGUCUUAAACAUACCACCAUUGUAGGAUAAUGUUUAAGUGGACAGAAAUGGCAAUUGAACUGAAAGUCUAAGAACAUGCCUGUUUUGAUAGUUUCUCUGUAAACUGUCGAUUGGUGUGAGUUUAGUGGCAUUAUUUCCGCAUAUGUGUUAAGGCAACUAUCUAUCACCUACAAUGCACUGAAACAAUCUUCUGAUUUGUUUGUAUGCAGCUGAAGAAAAUGUGCAAGGUGCGUACAUAGCGUGGUAAUGAAGUAGAACUUUACCACGCUUUUUCUUAUUUGUCUCGAACAAAUGUAUUACCAUCAAUGCUUCGCCCAUUCUUCGUAUGUUUGCUAAAAGAUUCAAUUUAUUUUUACUAACCUCCAGGUGAUCUUUUCUGUAGUGAAUUGAACCUUAUGAAAAGAAAAACCUAUCUACAUGACUCCCAUUUCGUAGACUACUAUCUUCCCAAUUCAAAUGAACCACUGGCAUCUCAUAAAUGUUGAUGCUAUUUUUUUACUCCACAGACAUUAGAGAUCUUACCGAUCAAAACAAUAUUGCUCUCAUCAAUAUUAUGCUUGCAUGUUUUGAGUCAACCUUAAGAAUAAUCACUCACAUGAGUUUUUGGUACUGCUUAGCUGGUGGUAAUUACUAUCUCCCCUUUCCGGUGCUCCUGUAGAAAAACGUCUUUACUGGAGGACUUUUAAGCGGUGCAAACAUUGCUAGGGUACGUAUCUUUAUUUUCAUCACAUGCUGGCCUGCUGCGCCGCUUGCCGUGCGGGACGGACCGCUGUUGCUCGCCAUGUCGCCUUCUUCGAUUAUGGUUGGUGGGUGUGCUUCUAUUCAUCGUCGUGCUCCUCCUCCUUUUUCCGGUGAUCCGUCGCUGCCGCACCUCUGGUCAGGUCUUGGAAGAUUGGGUCGAGCUUUGCGGCCGGCGGCCUUCCUUAGUUGCCUGGCAAUGAGCUAGAAUAGGUCGCGGUCUUCGGUAAGCAGCCUACAUCGAGCAUCAACGACUUGCAGUUUUGGCAUUUUGUUGGUUCCUUAAUUCCCAGAUGAAGAUUCCCACCCCUUCAUCAAGAUUCAGUUUAUUUGUAUUUGUUUCGUCCAUUCGUACCAAGGUCUUACUGUGAGUGGAGAUCCUCUUAGUUGCUCUGGGCUGGCUAUUGGUUGCUACCGGAGGUCACCUCCUCCGCAUCUGUGCUGGCGAUCUUCAAGAUGUUAUUGUUGUGCGGAUUGGGCGGUCCAGUGGUGCGCGUGGAAGGUGUGGUAGGGAGGGGUUGUGCUCGGCAUGCCGUUGCUCCUGUAGCAUCUAUGAUCGGUAGCCGUUUGUGGUCGCGGGAUUUUGCUGCUGGUAGUGUGAUUGGUUCUGCGGACUACUCAGAUGUUCCUUCUGUUGGUGGUAGAUUGCAUAUGUUCGGUUUGUGAGCUGACUAAAUAUUUACGUUCAGAUUUUUUUACAGUAUGAACA